UUAUUGAACAGACGUUGUCGUUCCCUUUUGGAUAUCUCCAGGUCCAUAGAAGCAUCUCAUUGGACGUGGACAGCGUGGUGCACGCCCUGUUCUUCAGGAAGAAGACCACAGACAGCCUCUUACUGGCUAGUUCCCUAAGGCUGCUGCAGGCUGUUCUGGAUGUUGACCUGGAGUCUCCAGUGCUGUGUGUGGGUGGGGGCCCCAGUGCAGGAAAGAGGCCCCUGGGGGAAACAGACAGCUCUCUGUACCCGCUGGGCUCUCACAGGGCCCAUUGCCUCAUCACUGCACUCUAUGGCCUCCUGCUGCAGGUAACAGACACACACACACAUCCCCAGUACCGCUGCUGUUCCAGGUGUGAUUAUUGUUUUGCUGAGAGCAUCCCUGACUGAGGACUGACUAGCAUUCAAGCGCCCUGCCAGUGUUACUCUGUUUCUAACCCUCCGUGGUGCAGUCUACUGCACAUUUAUAGUCCGUAAAAUGGUGUUAAUGUCAGUGAUAUGGUAAUAAACCCACUCCAUAAAUACAGUGUGUAGUUACUGUCAUCACUUAAUGACUGCGUCAGAGCUUAUAAAAACUCUGCGUGAGGCACCGUGGCCUCCCCUGUGUCUCCUGAUGUCUACAGUGCCACCUGUUCCUCCUUUACUGCCAUGCUGUCUGGGCUGUGUGUGUGAACGGAUGCUGUAAAUGCUGAUUGCCUCGCUGCGUAGACGUCUGGCUGUUGUAAAAGCGCCGGUGGCAGUCAAUGCCUUAUGGGUAACUGUUCUGUCCAGCCGAGCUCCUCCGGGUCCACUGCGCCGGGGACACACUAAGCACGUGAUGAGUCGGUACCGCCACCGGGAUUAGAGAGGACCUCUCUGUUGUCCUCCUCUCGAGAGUCACCUGGCCUACUUCAGUGACUUGACACCCUAGUCCGUAGUUGCCCCCUCAUUAUGGGCUGUAGUCUGAGAGGAUCACACACUGAUCCAUUUCUCUGUAUUGUUUUAAAUCUUUUGGCCAAAUAUCCUUUCUCUCCCUCCUCUAGCCAUUCCCUCGUCUUGCUAAAUGUCUCUCUGGCCUCUCCCUCUUCCAGAAGCAGGAGCUGUUGCUCAAUGUGACAGUCAACUGCCUUGGGUCUCUGUUGGGGUUUCUACAAAGGAGGAGCCAAUCUACAGGUACCAGAUCAGAUGUUACCGUCUUGUUGUAUUUUCAUGUUUCAGUCAGUGUGUUUCUCAUCCUGAGC
rnacentral:lncRNA from 1 species